rnacentral:rRNA from 1 species
CCUACGGGAGGCAGCAGUGAGGAAUAUUGGUCAAUGGCCGGAAGGCUGAACCAGCCAAGUCGCGUGAGGGAAUAAGGCCCUAUGGGUCGUAAACCUCUUUUGUCAGGGAGCAAAGGCGUCCACGUGUGGACGAGAGGAGAGUACCUGAAGAAAAAGCAUCGGCUAACUCCGUGCCAGCAGCCGCGGUAAUACGGAGGAUGCGAGUGUUAUCCGGAUUUAUUGGGUUUUAAGGGUGCGUAGGCGGGACCUUAAGUCAGCGGUAAAAUUGCGGUGCUCAACGCCGUAGAGCCGUUGAAACUGGGGUUCUUGAGUGAGCGAGAAGUAUGCGGAAUGCGUGGUGUAGCGGUGAAAUGCAUAGAUAUCACGCAGAACCCCGAUUGCGAAGGCAGCAUACCGGCGCUCAACUGACGCUGAGGCACGAAAGUGCGGGUAUCGAACAGGAUUAGAUACCCGUGUAGUC